rnacentral:sRNA from 1 species
GCACUACUACUACACUCAUACUCUCUUCUCUCUCCUGUUCUUGAUUUUCUCUCUCCUCCUCUACGCGAGGAGAGGAGCUAGCUAGCGCACACCAGCGGCAGCAGCAGGAGAAAGAUUGGCACGAACAGUCCAGAAAACUAGUAGUAGCAGAAGAGGAUGAAUGGUUCGGGUAUUGACUUCUGUCCAUUAAUGUAAAGCCUUCAAUGAACAUUCAUUUCGGUUAUAAAUGGAAAGAG